rnacentral:rRNA from 1 species
CGGCAGGCCUAACACAUGCAAGUCGAGCGGAAGAGAGAAGCUUGCUUCUCAAUUCAGCGGCGGACGGGUGAGUAAUGCCUAGGAAUCUGCCUGGUAGUGGGGGACAACGUUUCGAAAGGAACGCUAAUACCGCAUACGUCCUACGGGAGAAAGCAGGGGACCUUCGGGCCUUGCGCUAUCAGAUGAGCCUAGGUCGGAUUAGCUAGUUGGUGGGGUAAUGGCUCACCAAGGCGACGAUCCGUAACUGGUCUGAGAGGAUGAUCAGUCACACUGGAACUGAGACACGGUCCAGACUCCUACGGGAGG